ACUCACCGGCUCCAGGCAGCUUCCACACACACACACACACAAAGAACGAAGGCCAGCGUGAACCGCCGCACCCAGGCAGGAGCCUCCUCGCUCUCCGGCUCACUCUCCUCCUCUGUAUCUCUGCAGCGCACCGUGGAGACAACAGAUACCACCCCGGACGCUCCCGCCACCACAGUCCCCGGCUCGACAGAGACGUGCAUUACUGGGGAAAAAAGUGCUGACCUGUCACUGCCCUCACCUGCUGGCCCCAACAUCUACGCCACAUAAUGGGGGAGAAGUGAGGGAGCGCCGGCCGAUCCGCUCUGCUCUGGCUUCCUCUGCAGGAUGUGCACACUGCUCUGGAGCCUCUCAGGAUGUAUAUUUGCCAAGGAUAUGCCCGCUGCACCUGAGAGCCACGGAGCGCUGGCUAGACGGACCGGAGCCGCGUCACUUCCUGUGGGCGGAGUGACGUCAGGACCGGAAACCCAGGCAGCGCGGCUGGAGGCGGCGGUGUGGACCUCUUACAACAUAGAAAUACAGAUGGAGUAAACUUGCUUUAUAAAAUGUGACACUUGAUCAUGCUACUUUGGCUUGAUGGCGUCCCAGAGUGGAGACAACAACUAAAGCCUUGACGCAUUUCUGCAUUUAAUGCAUUACUUUCUCAUGCACACAUCUCUAAUUAAUAUGUUUAUUCAUAAAGGCACAUACUGAACAUAUUCUGUUGCAGAAAGCAACAAGUCUGUCCCGAGGGUCUACAAGAGUCUAGGAAUAGCAGCGCAUUUCCACAUUUGUCCUAACGUAUU